rnacentral:lncRNA from 10 species
UAACAACCCCGAAAACAAGGAUAAAUAAUGAGAAUAAGAAAGUAAAAUUCCAUCUCGAGGGUCAAAUACACCUGAAGUUUUUCUCCAUUUAUGGCUCACCCUUACAAUUUUGCCAGGAUUAUGUUUUGGCAGGUUUGAAUACUCAUGUACCUCAUGAUCCAGCAAAUCCACAUGGAUGUAUAAAAAUCAAAGAGAAGCUCUUGUAUGUGUACAGUGGGGAGCUAUGCCAGCAUAUUUACAACAGGUCUUUAAAAAAUAGUAAAUAUAUGAAAUAAAUCAAGUGAUAAUCAACAGGAAAGCAGGAGAACACAUGGCAGAAUAUUCACAUAAUGGACUAUUAUAUAGCAGUUAAAGUGAAUAGACUAUGAUGACAUGCAAAGAUAUGAGUGAAAAUCAGCAAAUGUAAUAUUAACUGAAAAAAUCCCAAAAUAUUACAUAUAAGUUUAUAAUCUUUUUGUAAAGUUGAAAACAACAAAAUAAAAUAUUUUUAUGAUACAUGUAGAUUUAAUGAACUAUAAAAAACAAAUCAAGAAAAUCAAGGGAAUAUUGAAACAUGAUUCACUAGACUAGUUCAUUAGAAUUUUUAUCUUUGGUAGGGUCAGGCGGGGAAUGGGAAUGGUAAUCAUAAAGUUAGAUGUAUGUUAUUGUCAAGGUCCUAAUUUUUGUUUUGAGUGAUGAGUUCAUGAAUGUGUCUUGCACUGUUAGUAAAUAAGUGAAUAAACUGAUCUAUAUAUGGCGCAAUAACAA